rnacentral:rRNA from 1 species
CGGGCCCGCACAAGCGGAGGAACAUGUGGUUUAAUUCGAUGAUACGCGAGGAACCUUACCUGGGCUUAAAUGUAGAGUGCAUUUUUUAGAGAUAGAAAUUCCCUUCGGGGCUUUCUGCAAGGUGCUGCAUGGUUGUCGUCAGCUCGUGCCGUGAGGUGUCGGGUUAAGUCCCAUAACGAGCGCAACCCUUAUCGUUAGUUGCCAUCUGGUAAUGCAGGGGACUCUAGCGAAACUGCCACCGUAAGGUGAGAGGAAGGUGGGGAUGACGUCAAAUCAGCACGGCCCUUAUGUCCAGGGCUACACACGUGUUACAAUGGUCGGUACAGAGGGCAGCUACCUGGUGACAGGAUGCUAAUCUCGAAAACCGGUCUCAGUUCGGAUCGAAGUCUGCAACUCGACUUCGUGAAGCUGGAUUCGCUAGUAAUCGCGCAUCAGCUAUGGCGCGGUGAAUACGUUCCCGGGCCUU